rnacentral:rRNA from 1 species
AGGGGGUUUGGAUCCUGGCUCAAGACGAACGCUGGCGGCGUGCUUAAUACAUGCAAGUCGAACGAGGGCCCGGAGCUUGCUCCGGUGACCCGAGUGGCGGACGGGUGAGUAACACGUGACCAACCUACCUUCGGGAGGGGGACAACCUGGGGAAACCCGGGCUAAUACCGCAUAUCGUCCACGGGCCGCAUGGCCUGUGGAUAAAAGGGAGCCUCUGCUUGCAUGCUCUCACCCGAAGAGGGGGUCGCGGCGUAUCAGCUUGUUGGUGGGGUAACGGCCUACCAAGGCGACGACGCGUAGCGGGUCUGAGAGGACGACCCGUCACAUUGGGACUGAGAUACGGCCCAGACUUCUACGGAAGGCAGCAGUAGGGAAUAUUGCGCAAUGGCCGAAAGGUUGACGCAGCGACGCCGCGUGUGGGGAGGACGCCCUUCGGGGUGUAAACCACUGUCAGGGGGGAAGAACCUCGUAGGCGUGAAUUAGCGCUUUGCGGCUGACGGUACCCCCAGAGGAAGUGCCCGGCUUAACUCCGUUGCCAGCAAGCCCGCCGGUAAGACGGGAAGGGCGCCAAGC